GCAGAUGUAGCUAAAUGGUAGAGUGCUUACCUAGCAAGUUGGAGGCCCUGGGUUCAAUCCCUAGCACCUCCA
rnacentral:tRNA from 1 species